rnacentral:rRNA from 1 species
UACGAAGGUGGCAAGCGUUAUUCGGAAUUACUGGGCGUAAAGCGCAGGUAGGCGGUUUGGUAAGUCCGCUAUGAAAUCUCCCGGCUUAACUGGGAGGGGUUUGUGGAUACUGUCAGGCUCGAGUGUGGGAGAGGUAACUGGAAUUCCUGGUGUAGCGGUGAAAUGCGUAGAUAUCAGGAGGAACACCAAUGGCGAAAGCAGGUUACUGGCCCAAUACUGACGCUGAGCUGCGAAAGCUAGGGGAGCAAACAGG